rnacentral:rRNA from 1 species
AUGCUGACUCCGGCACCUUACACGGUGCCGGAGAAGACCAAGAAGGCCAAGGGAACCCGAAAGAGUUCCCGGCGCCAGGUGAUAUCGGACUCAUCGUCGGAUGACUCCUCGGCGCACUCCUCCCACAAAGACGAGGAGGAAGAUGAAGACGCUCCCCCUCCAGCCGGGGGAGACAAGAAAAGGAAGGCCGCCCCAACUGGGGGGGCCGAAGGGUCCAAGAAGGGAAGGACUCUCCUUCCGAACAGUUCCACCACCGCCGCCGAAGGCGAAGACGAGUGGCUGCCCAGGGCCAAGCCCCUAGCGAAGUCACCGCCCCGGGAUAGUAUCGAUGUAGCCUCGUCGGACGGCUCCCUGGGCUCGUCGGAUAUGGAUAGUGAUCCACUUCCGACCGCUACCUCCCCCGGCCCUACGGACAACGCCGAGGUGUUGUCUUAA